UGAGGAAUAUUGGUCAAUGGGCGGGAGCCUGAACCAGCCAAGCCGCGUGAGGGAUGAAGGCCCUAUGGGUCGUAAACCUCUUUUGUCAGGGAACAAAAGCGAGUACGUAUACUUGUCUGAGUGUACCUGAAGAAAAAGCAUCGGCUAACUCCGUGCCAGCAGCCGCGGUAAUACGGAGGAUGCGAGCGUUAUCCGGAUUUAUUGGGUUUAAAGGGUGCGUAGGCGGCGGUGCAAGUCAGCGGUAAAAGCCCGGGGCUCAACCCCGGCGAGCCGUUGAAACUGCAGUGCUAGAGAAGGCGAGAGGUACGCGGAAUGCGCGUGUAGCGGUGAAAUACUUAGAUAUUGCGCAGAACUCCGAUUGCGAAGGCAGCGUACUGGCGCCUGACUGACGCUGAGGCACGAAAGCGUGGGGAUCGAACAGGAUUAGAUACC
rnacentral:rRNA from 1 species